rnacentral:rRNA from 1 species
UACGAAGGGGGCUAGCGUUGUUCGGAAUUACUGGGCGUAAAGCGCACUUAGGCGGAUAUUUAAGUCCGGGGUGAAAUCCCAGAGCUCAACUCUGGAACUGCCUCUGAUACUGGGUAUCUUGAGUAUGGAAGAGGUAAGUGGAAUUGCGAGUGUAGAGGUGAAAUUCGUAGAUAUUCGCAGGAACACCAGUGGCGAAGGCGGCUUACUGGUCCAUUACUGACGCUGAGGUGCGAAAGCGUGGGGAGCAAACAGG